GAUGAACGCUGGCGGCGUGCUUAACACAUGCAAGUCGAACGGAAAGGCCCAAGCUUGCUUGGGUACUCGAGUGGCGAACGGGUGAGUAACACGUGGGUGAUUUGCCCUGCACUUCGGGAUAAGCCUGGGAAACUGGGUCUAAUACCGGAUAGGACGAUGGUUUGGAUGCCAUUGUGGAAAGUUUUUUCGGUGUGGGAUGAGCUCGCGGCCUAUCAGCUUGUUGGUGGGGUAAUGGCCUACCAAGGCGUCGACGGGUAGCCGGCCUGAGAGGGUGUACGGCCACAUUGGGACUGAGAUACGGCCCAGACUCCUACGGGAGGCAGCAGUGGGGAAUAUUGCACAAUGGGCGCAAGCCUGAUGCAGCGACGCCGCGUGGGGGAUGACGGCCUUCGGGUUGUAAACUCCUUUCGCUAGGGACGAAGCGUUUUUGUGACGGUACCUGGAGAAGAAGCACCGGCUAACUACGUG
rnacentral:rRNA from 1 species